CAUCACCUGGAACAGCGGGUUAUGGCUCAGGCUGCGUUCAGGCUGCAGCGCCUCCACCAGUUGUUCGAACGGCAGGUCCUGA
rnacentral:tRNA from 1 species